AACAAAUCACAAUAUGAUAUUCUACCAUACACAGCUUCAGGAGGACAAAUAAGGUCUUUGUCUCCUGCGAGAGCUAAAACAGGUACAUUGGUUUUGUGAAGAUGGUCCUUGUAAAAGAAAGUCCCACUUCUAUUCCGUAAUCCACCCUUUCCAAAGGCUGUUGAUAGCUGUGACAGAAGUUUAGCAGGAAUAGUGCAAAAGUUUUUCAAGACAAGCCUCUCAAACAAUUCUGGAUGCAUCAUAUUUUGUGCAGAUAUCUGAGGAUUUAACCAUGAUAAGAGAUACGGAGGAUAGGAUGCAAGAGGAUAGAUGGCUGCGAGUAAUGCUCCGACUGGAACAACUGGAAGAUUUACAGCUUUUGCAGGAUCUACGAAGGGUAUAAGCAUUUUCAGGGAUGACCUUGAAGUAGUAUAUUCCAGUGAUGAACCCAAAGUGAUGACUGAAGCCAACUCAGUGUUCUUUCCUCUGUA
rnacentral:misc_RNA from 1 species